CGCCUCUUGCUAACAAAGGAAGUACUAGAGGUCCCGCCUGCCCUGUGACCACAAAGUUUAACGGCCGCGGUAUCCUGACCGUGCGAAGGUAGCGUAAUCAUUUGUCUUUUAAAUAGAGACCUGUAUGAAUGGCAUAACGAGGGUUUAACUGUCUCCUUCCCCUAGUCAAUGAAAUUGAUCUGCCCGUGCAGAAGCGGACAUAAACACAUAAGACGAGAAGACCCUAUGGAGCUUUAGACAAAAGAUCAAACAUGUAAAGAAACCAAACCAACCAAAAGGAACACGAAGGCCACAAAACCCAACGUAAACUGAUCUAAAUGUCUUCGGUUGGGGCGACCAUGGGGGAAAGAAAAGCCCCCACGAGGAACAGGGACAACCCCUAAACUAAGAGAGACACCUCUAAGCAACAGAAAAUCUGACCAAAAUGACCCAGGAUACUAAUCCUGAUCAACGAACCAAGUUACCCUAGGGAUAACAGCGCAAUCCUUUCCCAGAGUCCG
rnacentral:rRNA from 1 species